rnacentral:lncRNA from 1 species
GUGGAAGAAGAAGUGACUAAAAAGCCGCUUUCUGAAACUCCUUCCAAUCGGACAGACCCUGUGAAGGUGGGAGGCGAUUGGCAGAAAUUCAGGGAGAGUGGCACACUGACCAGGAAACCUGUGUUUGUGUUCGGUAAACAUUGGCCCCACCAGGACCUGCAGGAUUUGUGGAUAAAGGUCGGGGAGAGUGGGCUUUGGGAUGUCUGAGAUCAAGUUCCAGCUUUUCCUUUUCCCGGCUGUGCUACUUUGGGCAAGGUACGUAACCUCUCUGAACUUUAGCUUCCUCAUUUGUAAAAGGGAAAUGGCAGAUCUACCUUAUAGGAUGGUUGUGAAGAGAGAAUGAAAGUCCUUCAAUGAGAGGCAAGCAGGUAUAAUAAUAAUCACAAUCAUAUCAUAAUUAUUACUAAUAUUUUGGGGAUUCCUGUGAAUGGAUAGAAGGGAUUCCAAGAAGAGAACCUAAGGGAGACUCAUAAGGUCUAGGGUCAGAUUAAAGAUGAUCUAACCCAACUGCUUCGUUUUACAGAUGGGGAAACUGAGGCCCAACAGGUAGCUUGGCCGGCGUUAGGUACACAGGCGGAACUGAGGAACUGCGAAGACCGGGCAGAAGGUCUUUGCAGUAGCCUGGAGCCGGUUAACCUUGCCAAGAGCUUUCAGAAAUUACGAGGCCGCAAAAACGCUUUUUGGCUUGCAGAGUCCCAAAGCGCCCCACCCACCUCCCUUAGAGCCAGCCGUCCUUCUCACUCCUGGACCCUGCAUUGCCAGGCUGAUGAGACCUAAUGCAAAGUCGGCUGAACCCGGAAUUCCUGUUUGAACUCAGCCUGCAGAUUUUCAAGGCCACAAGGUAUUGCUGGAGUGACAGAGCAAGGUGCUUACGGUGAACCCCCACCUACAUCUGUGUGCCGCUGAGAAAUUGACUUUUUCCCCCCCAGUUGAAUUAUUAAUUAGUUGCCUUAUUGACUCAUUUCUAAGCACUCGGUCAAAUUGGGUAACCAAUCCAAUUUGGACGGGAGAACAGCGAAAGGUUUUAGUCCAUCCAUUUUUCAAUCGGAUGCAUGUCAUUGUCUGGGAGAGACUUGGAAGAAAGGCCUCGAGCCUCGCUCGAGCGGAGAAAAUCCAGGGACAGUGAUCUCGAGCGGAGAAAAUCCAGGGACAGUGAUCACUGAGCAGUCUUAUCUUCCUUUCUUCCUCUACUUGAUCUCCUACAAUAAAAGAGGGGGGAAAAAGCUUUUCUAGUUUAAC